AAAUUUGAUUGAAUUGUGUGAAUGAUGAAAAUGUUGCUAUUAAAUCCAUGAAAUUUGAAUGAAUUGUGUGAAUUAUGAAAAUGUUGUUGUUAAACCCAUGAAAUUUGAUUGAAUUGUGUGAAUGAUAAAAAUGUUAUUGUUAAACCCGUGUAAAUUGAUUGAAUUGUGGGAAUGAUAAAAUUGUUGCUCUUAAAACCAUUAAAAUUUGAUAGAAUUGAGUGAAUGAUGAAAACACUGCUAUUUAACCCAUGGAGUUUGAUUGAAUUGUACGAAUGAUGAAAAUGUUGUUGUUAAACCAAUGAAAUUUGAUUGAAUUAUGGGAAUGAUUAAAAUGUUACUGUUAAACCCAUGAAAAUUGAUUGAAUUGUGGGAAUGAUGAAAUUAUGGCCCUUAAAACCAUAAAAUUUGAUUGAAUUGAGUGAAUGAUGAAAACGCUGCUUUUAAACCCAUGGAAUUUGAUUGAUUUUUGGGAAUGAUGAAAAUGUUGUUAUUAAGCACAUGAAAUUUGAUUGAAUUGUGUGAAUGAUGAAGAUUUUAUUUUUAAACCCAUGAAAUUUGAUAUAAUUUUGUGAAUGAUGAAAAUGUUAUUGUUAAACCCAUGAAAUUUAAUUGAAUUGUGGGAAUGAUGAAAAUGUUACUGUUAAACCCAUGAUAUUUGAUUGAAUUGUGGGAAUGAUGAAAAUGUUGCUAUUAAAUCCAUGAAAUUUCACUGAAUUGUGCGAAUUAUGAAAAUGUUGUUGUUAAACCCAUGAAAUUUGAUUGAAUUGUGUGAAUGAUGAAAAUGUUGCUAUUAAAUCCAUGAAAUUUGAAUGUAUUGUGUGAAUUAUGAAAAUGUUGUUGUUAAAC
rnacentral:lncRNA from 1 species